AGAUGCACCGGUCAAUCGGCCGCCGAUCAAAAAGGCCGGUUUUCUAUCCAACCGGCCCAAUCGGUGACCGGCCGGUCACUGUCGUCAUUUCCGGUUUUUGGCCGGUCACGCUGACACGCAUGCGCAGCAGCUCAACGCGGACAGCUCAAAACUGAACCAAAGUUUUUUUCCUAUAUUGACCUGUAAACUGGACUGAAUGUUAUGGUCAGUGUUCUAAAUAAAUCUGCUCAGGGGGCACUGGUGAAACUCACUAUAUCUUAUUUUUGAUGUUUUAUUCUCAAGCCAAGUAAAUAUGGUGUCUAUUGUAUGAUUAUAAUGAUUUCUUAGAUAGAAAAUCGGUAUCGGUAAAACCGGUUUUGGCAGGUCAGACCCCCUCAAAAACCGGAAAUCGGUAUCGGCCAAGAAUUUUGCAAUCGGUGCAUCUCUAGAAAAGACAGUUGUAGGAGA